AGGCACAGAGGAAGCACCGCAGCACCUAGCUCGACUGCAAGGCCGAAAAGAAAUAUUUUAUCCUCUCUUCCCCCUUCCUGUCUUUUUCCUCAUUGAAUCUUUUCUUUUUCCCUCACAUCGACCAAAAUCCUUUAAGCAGGAAAACAUCCUACAAUAACGAAGUUUACAGAUAAGCAAACAAACCUGAGAGUUAAUUCCUAGAAAACUGUCCCAAUAGAAGUGCUUUAUGCUGAAACAAAGGGAUGCCACAUACGGAGUACGAGUACCAGGAGGGGCUCAAAGUACAGCUGGAAGGGAAGCCAGAAGAGGACACUGAAUUUCCUGUACUGAAGCUACAGAUGGUUGUGAGCCACCAUGCUGGGAACCAAACCUGGGCCUUCUGGAAGAGCAGCCAGUCCUCGUCACCACAGAGCAUCCUACCAGUCCCUCUUGGAAGUAUUCCCUUUAGCAUCCUUUACACUUAUUGCCCCCAACUAGGACCACUUCAGACGGCACGCUGAAGGUCAAUGCAGAACAUGGAUAACCUUGUCUUCUUCGGUGAAUUUUGUUUUCUCCAAUUCAGAAUUAUUUUGGCUAUUGGUCUGUUUCUUCUGCCCUCAGUUCUGUCUGGACUUUUUUUUUUUUUUUUUACUGCUCCAGUGGAUGGAAGGGGACUUUAUUUGGUCCCGGGGUCACAUGCCAGGUAUGACCCCAGCUUUAUUUGACCUUCUUGGGGCGCAGGUUGUUGGUAUGGCCGCACUUCUUGCCGCAGUUGACUGCAUGAGGGUGCAGGCGUGCGUAGCACUUGCGGCAGAUCAUCUUGUCACAGUUGUACUUCUGGGCAAGCUGACGAAGGGAUGGCUCAAUGAUGCCACCGCGCAGACGCAGCACCAGGUGCAAGGUGGACUCUUUCUGGAUGUUGUAGUCGGACAGGGUGCGGCCAUCCUCCAGCUGUUUGCCCGAGAAUAUCAGCCUCUGCUGGUCAGGUGGGAUGCCUUCCUUGUCUUGGAUCUUGGCCUUGACAUUCUUGAUGGUGUCACUGGGCUCGACCUCAAGAGUGAUGGUCUUGCCCGUCAGGGUCUUCACGAAGAUCUGCACGUUGGCGUCUGCCGCUCGGCCACCUCGUUGAAGAGAAAGAGAAAGCCUGUCUGGACUUUUAUCAUGAGGGAGAAUGUUCCACUUUAUAAAAGGCCUUUCUGCCGUCAUUGAUAUGAUCACAGUGGUUAUUUUUAAACUGUCAACUUGACAUAAUCUAAAGUCACCUGGGAGGGAGUCCCAGUGAAAGACUUUCUCGAUUAGGUUGUGAAGGGUUUUCUUGCUUCCAUUCAUUGAGGGUGGGAAGACCUUCUCUGCAUGUGAGAGCUGCCAUUUCCUGGGCUAGUCCAUGGACCAAGUGUAAAAGAGACAGAGGCAGAUGAACACUAGCAAGCAUGCAUUAACUCAUCACUCUCUGCUCCUAACUCUAGAUGUUACAAGACUAACUGCUUCGAGAGCUCUGGCGACCUUGAAGUUGCUGAUAUGAUGGACUCUAACCUGGAGUGGUGAACUGAACAAGCCCUUUCUCCCUUAAGUUGCCCCUCUCAGGGUAUUUUGUCACAGCAAAAGGAAAGAAAACUAAGACGAUUAGCACAUGGAUGCUGUUCUUCGAGCCUUUGAUUGAGUUUCAGAUGUUGAACCAUCCUUGUAAUCUGGGAGUGAAGAUAACUUGAUUAUUGCUAGCAUCUUAAUGUGCUUCUGAGACGUGCUAUUCUUGUACUCAUCAGGCAAUGAUUCUAUAGUUUUCUUUUUGUUGUUGUGCCUUAUCCACUUCUGGUAUCAGGAGAAACUGAACUGAGAGGUGGUUUCUUAGUUUCUUAUAAAUGUCUGAAGCACCCGCAACCUAAUAUUAAUCAAAAUAAAAAAUUUGCUUGCAUUUCUUUCAAAAAAAAAAAAAAAAAAAAA
rnacentral:misc_RNA from 1 species